UUUCCCUUCUGCCAAGAUUGAAAAGAACCGUAAGCUGCAAUAAAAAUUUGGUUUCAACAUAACAGUCAGUUUCCCAAAAAUCAGUAUUGAGAGUCACUAACAUUAAAUGAUGAAGAUCCAAGACUGGUGUGGGGAUCUUUACUCUUCAUAGACGAGCUGUACAUGGCUUGGAAAGGCUGUCUGAAGGCAGGGGAAGGUUGGAGAUCCAACUUUGGCCUCUGCCAAGUACUCGUGCUAUUUUCUGUGUGUGAUACUAUCUGUUUUAUAACUCAGAGGCAACACCACAUACCUAGCAUAAGGCUUGAACUCCCUUUGGGGUUAUCAAUUACUUACAUAGCCUUCUUCUAAGGGAAAGCUUGCAACGGGUUCAUAUUCGACCCUUACAUGUGAUGAGCAUUCAUGUGGGCUCCACAAUGGAAGAGGUACACAGAGAUUCUUGUCAACAGAAAAUUUUAGAAAACAGCUAUCUGAUCUCACUAUGAAGAAAUCUUACUGACUUGAGUUCCUUUAUCAGAGUAGACAGGCUUAAAAUGCACUGCUUCCACUAUACUGCUGUAAUUAAUUUGCUGUUUUUGUUUUUGCACUGGUUUUGAAUUCAUUUAAUUGGUUUUAAUUCAUUUGUUUUAUAUUCCAUUUUUGUAUUUGUAUGCCAGUUAAAAAUUAUGAAAAGGCACAUUUUGGGAUUUUGUUUAGCUAAAUUCUAUAAAAAUGGAAAGAUACCUUUUAUUCGACUUACGUAAGCCUGAGGUUAUGCAGCACAGGUGAUCUUUGCAUUUCUGAAAGGUUAUCUUGUUGUUUAAUGAACAUAAAUAACUUAAGCACACUGGGAGAGCUACUAAAUAAGAGACUGAAAAGACAUGAAUUCUUACUUUGUCCACCUGAAAGGAUAGCUUGAGUUGGUGACUAAUCUUGCGUUGUUAAAAUUAGUUCCUAAAUAUUUAGAUAAGUAGUUGGUUUGAUCGUUAUUUGUAAAGUAUUAGUAGUUACAUGUUGAAUUAUCAUGUUAAGAUUUUUAGUUUGUUGUUCAUGUGAUAUGAAAGAUGCCAAUUCCUAAAACUGAAUGUAUGGCUUAUUCAGCUCAGGUCACAUACAAAGAGAAAAGCUGAAGCUGCAAUAAACACUGAGCUAUCUGGGUUUGAAGCAAAAGGCUAUGAAGUAUAUGCACUUUACCUUCUAUGUAUUUUUUAGUUCUAGUAAUCUCAUCAUGUAACAGAAAAUGAUUCUCCAGGUCCAAACACAUUUAAGUUUAAUGGUUGGGGCUACUCUAACAAUUGUGGCUAUUUCAUUUUUUCUCACUGGUUCAUUAGCAUACCAUCCAUUUAAGAACUACUUAUAAGCAUAGUAAUAUUUUAGAGGCUUUAAAAUAUAAUAGAGGAAGAAAACGUUAAAAAUCCUUUGUUUGCAGUCAAGAAAAUGUGAAAAUCAGAUUUGUAUUUGUUUUGGACAAUUGGGAACUGUCACAAUUGUUUUGAAGAUAUAACAAAUGUAUACACAUUAAGAGAUUCUAUAGUAUCAGCCAUUUUGACAUCUUUUGUAGAAAGAAAAACACCAAAAAACCCCAUAUGUUCUACGGCUCAGAAAUCAAGGAAUUCCACAAUUUUACUUUCCACUAAAAUAUUUAUUUAAUUGAUAUCUUACAGAAAUAAAUAAGAACAGUUUUUGUCUAAUAGAUCAUUUUAUAUAUAUGUAAUUAUUUAUUUAUUUUUACAAAAUUGAAGCAUAUCAAAUUGUUUUCUCUAAAACAUAGCUCAGAAAGGAAUACUAGAAAACAAACACAAAUACUGGAAGAGUCUCAUUAUUAAAUUAUAAGCAUGGGCCUUCUGAAUCGCAGCAUGACAUGUUAUUAGUAAAAGAAUGUAAGAUACGGAGUCAGGGGACCUGGGCUCCACUGUUUACUUGCUACAUGUCCUAAGAAAGUUUCUGAACUUCAGUUCUCUAUACCUUGAAAACAGGAAUGAUAUUCAUUAUAACAACUUCACAAGACUGUUGGGCAAAUUAAACAUGUAAAUGUAUAGGAAAGCUCUUUUUAGUAUGUGAAGAGCUAUAAAAAUAACAGUUUGAUUUAAUUUCAUAUAAAAGAAUCAAUGCAUACCUCCUUUUAACUGAAGAAUAAGCACCAAAAGUGUGUGUGUGUUUUCUUCAGCUGAAUUAUGUCACUCUAUAAACCUAGAGUAAGAAAAUGCACCUUAACUGAGCACCAAAGCCUCUCAGACAAAUGGGAUCCAGGGAAUGGUUCUAUGAGUUCUCCAGGCAGCUAAGUAGGAUCUAGAAAGUCCUGAGGGUCAAAGAGGGCCCUUUAAAACUCUGAAGGCUCAAAGAAAAGGAAGCCAAACAAGAACAUUUAUAUUACAUCAAAUGGCUAGGAUUAAGCAAGCUACUCCUUAUUCAGCAAUUUCGAAGUCCAUUAAUUCUUCACAGAAGAAGAAACACUUGGUUAUUAUCACCUGCAACAAUUCGCUUAUGUGAACAUGGCAUUCUGUUGUUCAAAAGGUCAAAGACUCGUGCUUAAGGGAGGAACAACUGGAAUAAAAUGGCAACUGUACCAUGAAUUCAGAUAUCAGUGGCUAAAAAGUCUAGUUACAGAAGAACAUGGGAAAGAAUUCAAGACAUCCGUAUAAUAAUGAUUCAAAACAAAGUGUGCUACAUUUCCAUGUUAUAAUGAUAAGAUGAAGUCAUAAAACUGCAAUAUUUACAGAUACAUCAAUCUUAUAACAUAAAAAAAACCUUAAUAGUGAGAAAAAUUAAGAGUAGAGAAAACAGAAAAUUUUAAGGUAAACAUUAAUACAUUUUAAAAAUCUAUUUGGAGUUAACUGUUUACACAGACACCACUUUACACAUAAUAGAAAAAUGAAUAUUUUCAGUGUUUUCAUUUUUAGUAGCAAGAUGCAGAGGAAAGAAAUAACUGUCUAACAUUAACUUAUUGUAAGGAGUUGUAUUACUGCAGAAUUACUAGGUAUGAAGUUAUGGUAUAAACCUACUCAAAACGACAAGUUAAUUCACCAUCUACUUAAAACAUUACUAACAAGAUAUUUGUGAAUCAUGUGCUAAAGAUACUGAAGGCCCUUCCAAAACUGAGAUCUAUGUUGGUUGAAAUACCAGGUCAUAUAAAGCUAGACUAGUUUACUUUCUUACUCCAACUCUUUUUAUGACUGAUGUUACUGUAAGAAAAGUACCCAUUACCUCUCUUAAUUCCCUUGUAUCAUCAGAUACAGAUAUUAUUUGGGACCACAAAAUAAAUGUUUUAUUAAGAGUGGAAAAUUAAAAAUCUUUAUAGAGCUUUUGAAAACAGAAUACUGAAAAGGGCCUAAGAAGUACCAGGCCACUGAAUAACCAGAACAAGAAACAAAUGCUUUCAUCUAGGAACAGUGUUAGCUGAUAACUACUUGGUUUUUAACCUUGUAACUUUGCUCUACAGCUAUGAAAGUUUAUUAAUACAUUAAAGUCGAUGGAAUGAAUAAAGUGUAGUUCAUUCAAGCUCUUCAGUUUCUUUGGUAAAUAGGUCUGCUAGGUCAGCCACGGUCAAGACGGAGGCCUCUGAAUGCUUCACUGAUGAAUUUGUGUGACUGCAAGGUUUUCCAAACGAGCACAGUCAGAAAGAAACCCCAAGGAAUCAGCAAUUAUAUUUGUAAUAAUAACAACUAGACCCAUAUUUUUUCUUAAGUUUUUAUAAUUGGGCUAUAAGAAACUCCCAGAGGAAAGCAAGUGAUAAAAUCAUUACUAUACCUUGUCAAAACCAGUGAAGACUUCUAUAUAUUACUUUUAGGGUUUGUCAAAAUGUUUCUUCUCUGCAAAGAAUAAAACCCCUGACAACUGCUA